rnacentral:rRNA from 1 species
AGCGAACGCUGGCGGCAGGCUUAACACAUGCAAGUCGAACGGGCACUUCGGUGCUAGUGGCAGACGGGUGAGUAACGCGUGGGAACGUGCCUUUCGGUUCGGAAUAAUCCAGGGAAACUUGGACUAAUACCGGAUACGCCCUUCGGGGGAAAGAUUUAUCGCCGAAAGAUCGGCCCGCGUCUGAUUAGCUAGUUGGUGAGGUAAAGGCUCACCAAGGCGACGAUCAGUAGCUGGUCUGAGAGGAUGAUCAGCCACAUUGGGACUGAGACACGGCCCAAACGCCGACGGGAGGCAGCAGUGGGGAAUAUUGGGCAAUGGGCGAAAGCCUGAUCCAGCCAUGCCGCGUGAGUGAUGAAGGCCUUAGGGUUGUAAAGCUCUUUUGUCCGGGAAGAUAAUGACUGUACCGGAAGAAUAAGCCCCGGCUAACUUCGUGCCAGCCGCCGCCGUAA